rnacentral:rRNA from 1 species
GACGAACGCUGGCGGCGUGCCUAAUACAUGCAAGUAGAACGCACAGUUUAUACCGUAGCUUGCUACACCAUAAACUGUGAGUUGCGAACGGGUGAGUAACGCGUAGGUAACCUGCCUGGUAGCGGGGGAUAACUAUUGGAAACGAUAGCUAAUACCGCAUAAUAUUAAUUAUUGCAUGAUAAUUGAUUGAAAGAUGCAAUUGCAUCACUACCAGAUGGACCUGCGUUGUAUUAGCUAGUAGGUGAGGUAACGGCUCACCUAGGCGACGAUACAUAGCCGACCUGAGAGGGUGAUCGGCCACACUGGGACUGAGACACGGCCCAGACUCCUACGGGAGGCAGCAGUAGGGAAUCUUCGGCAAUGGACGAAAGUCUGACCGAGCAACGCCGCGUGAGUGAAGAAGGUUUUCGGAUCGUAAAGCUCUGUUGUAAGAGAAGAACGGGUGCGAGAGUGGAAAGUUCACACUGUGACGGUAUCUUACCAGAAAGGGACGGCUAACUACGUG